UACGAAGGGGGCUAGCGUUGUUCGGAAUUACUGGGCGUAAAGCGCGCGUAGGCGGUUUGUUAAGUUGGAUGUGAAAUCCCCGGGCUCAACCUGGGAACUGCAUUCAAAACUGACAAGCUAGAGUAUGGUAGAGGGUGGUGGAAUUUCCUGUGUAGCGGUGAAAUGCGUAGAUAUAGGAAGGAACACCAGUGGCGAAGGCGACCACCUGGACUGAUACUGACACUGAGGUGCGAAAGCGUGGGGAGCAAACAGG
rnacentral:rRNA from 1 species